UACGUAGGGAGCGAGCGUUGUCCGGAUUCAUUGGGCGUAAAGAGCUCGUAGGCGGCUUGGUAAGUCGGAUGUGAAACCUCCAGGCUCAACCUGGAGUCGCCAUCCGAUACUGCCAUGGCUAGAGUCCGGUAGGGGCCCACGGAAUUCCUGGUGUAGCGGUGAAAUGCGCAGAUAAUCAGGAGGAACACCGAUGGCGAAGGCAGGAUGGCCUGGGCCGGCAGCUGACGGCUGGAGGAGCGAAAGCGUGGGAGCGAACAGGAAUUAG
rnacentral:rRNA from 1 species